rnacentral:tRNA from 1 species
GGGGGCGUGGUGUAGUGGUUAGCAUCUGUGCCCUUCAAGCACAAGGCGCGGGUUCAAUUCCCGCCGUCCCUACCA